AGUGAACGCUGGCGGUAGGCCUAACACAUGCAAGUCGAACGGCAGCACAGUAAGAGCUUGCUCUUACGGGUGGCGAGUGGCGGACGGGUGAGGAAUACAUCGGAAUCUACUUUUUCGUGGGGGAUAACGUAGGGAAACUUACGCUAAUACCGCAUACGACCUACGGGUGAAAGCAGGGGAUCUUCGGACCUUGCGCGAUUGAAUGAGCCGAGGUCGGAUUAGCUAGUUUGCGGGGUAAAGGCCCACCAAGGCGACGAUCCGUAGCUGGUCUGAGAGGAUGAUCAGCCACACUGGAACUGAGACACGGUCCAGACUCCUACGGGAGGCAGCAGUGGGGAAUAUUGGACAAUGGGCGCAAGCCUGAUCCAGCCAUACCGCGUGGGUGAAGAAGGCCUUCGGGUUGUAAAGCCCUUUUGUUGGGAAAGAAAAGCAGCAGGUUAAUACCCCGCUGUUCUGACGGUACCCAAAGAAUAAGCACCGGCUAACUUCGUG
rnacentral:rRNA from 1 species